GUAGGUGAACCUGCGGAAGGAUCAUUUUUGAUUUAUACCAAUCUCACACUGUGAACCGUGGCUCCGGCCCAAACUUGAAUGUAAAGAAUGUAUAAUCAAUUUAAACAAAACAUAACUUUCAACAACGGAUCUCUUGGCUCUC
rnacentral:misc_RNA from 1 species